GCCUGGGUGGCUCAGUCGGUUGAGCGUCCGACUUCAGCUCGGGUCAUGAUCUUGUGGUCCAUGGGUUUGGGCCCUGUGUCAGGCU
rnacentral:tRNA from 1 species